UGUGUUUGGAUCAUUUCAUGCCGUGGGCUACUCGCCAAGAGAGGACAGCUGAACUCGUUUUUUUUUGCAGCAGCUUCCUGCGUUUCAUUUUUUUUCUCCGGUGGAUUUCUACACCGAGCUGGCGGGACUUGGAUAUGUAAAUCCCCAAGGACUUGGAUGUGAAAGAGAUGCAAGCACAUGCUGUGCUAGUCUCUUGGCACCUGAAUUCCUCUGCAGGAGCAUAUGUACGUGGGAACGGAUGCAUGGCUUCAGCCCGCUGAGAGGUGAACUGCAUGCUGGGACGGCGGAGGGCUGAGAGAGAGUCUUCCCUGGCUCGCGUAGCCAUGGCAGCGACGGUGAGAGGACGGUCUCACUCGUGUCGUCGUGACAGCCAAGCAGCCCAGCAGCCAUGUGACAGCUCUGGGAGAGCAAGGCGGCCCGAUAGCCGGAUACUGUCGAGGAGAAGUUGCUUGAUUUGUACAUGGCUGAGGGGAGAAACGGUCCAGUCAUCCAGGAAAUAAGAGAGCAGCCAAGUGAUUUAGAGAGGAGAGUCUCCGUCAGGCAUCCAGUCCACCUGAGACGGAGAUCAUUCUGGGUGUUCAGCAGCCCGUUGAUGGAUAGACGGACUUCUUUUAUUGCUUUUUCUGGCCUUUGAUCAUCCCAUUGUAGACGUGCUAUUUCAUGUUUUAUCUGCACUGCAACGUUAUUUGCUAUAUAUAUUACAUUGUGUACCAAGAGACCUGUGGUUUCAGGAAGUAACUUCCAGGAGAGUUUGUUCUUUUCCCUUUUGGUUCUAUGUGUUUGUUUGAGAGGGAGAGAUCAUGCCUCUGGUUGAUUAAACCUCUGCAUCUCAAACUACCUCAUGGCCUUGUUGUUUAUUGGCAGGCACUUCAGAAAAAUGCACUCACAUGUGCACUGUACACACACACACACACACACACACACACACACACAUUAACAAACCCUAUACCGACACCCUCAACUCUAUUGAGCUUUGCUUCGUAAUGAGCGUCUAACAGUAAUUUAAGGCCAUAGCACUGACACCAUAUUGAUCUCGGUGGACAGGGCAUGAAGAAUACCCACAAAUCAGCGCAGAAGUGUUCAAUUGCUUCCCUCAUCAGAUAAAUCAGCAAGGCCACACAUCCAUGUCUUCUCCAUUACAACAAUGUUCUAUUUCAUGUCAUGUUUUAUACUGUGCCUCAAACUGACCCCACAAUUUGUGUGGUUUCCACCAAUGAUAUGUUUGGCCAUAUUCCACAAAAUGGGUCCUUCCUCUCACCUGUGUAGUAGGAUUGACAUCGCAGGGUACUGAGUUUUUUUUAAACUCAAAACUGUUCCCUCAAACCUUUUGCCUCUCUUGCUCCUGCUCUGUGAGGCAUCACACACUCAUUUGUAAAUACCAGUAUGCAGUGUGUGCGUCUAUCAGGUUACAUAAAUUCUGUAUAUUCACACUUUGCAAACAUCUUACCUCCUGCUACCAUCUGGCGCUGCCAGCGUUCAGGGUGCUUUGUGCAGAUUUAUAGGUAGUCACGAGUGGUGAACUGAGAGAAUGUCAACAAAAUUAGCAGAAAAGGUGGCUGCAGGUGAA